UUUGAUCAGACUCAGCUGCUAAAUGCUAAUGAAGAAGAAGGAGAAAGAAGAAAUAUGGAAGAAGAAGGAGACCAGAGAAAACAACUAAGAGUGGAAAUUGUGUGUUCAAUUCAUUGACCAGAGAAAAGAAAGGGGUUGGUUGGUUGGCUGGCUAGUUGAGGAAAAGGACUUAUGAGGUUGGUGAUGUUAUUGUAAUAAUGAUAUGUAGACCAAUAGUAAUACAAGUACUAGUACUGGUAAUCUCUGCAUCGUCAUUAUUUGAAGGGUUUGUUAAUUCAAGGGUUUGAUUGAUCGCUGUUGUAUUCAUUUGGAAUGCAGUUUAUAAAUGCAAAAUGGGUUGAGAGACAUAAACAAACAAAGCACAGAAGUAAAGAAAGAGAGGGAAAGUAAGAAGAGACACCAACUCAGCCAGUGUCCCAUCUUUGUUCUGGUAAUUAACUUAUUCCCUAAUCUUUUGUCAUUAGUUGGCCCUUUUAUUAGAUCUACAAAUCAUUCAUUAUACUCUUUUCUUUCUUUCUUUCUUUCUUUAACUCUUCUGGUUGUUAACAAAAUACAAACUUUCUAAUACCGUUUCUUGUUUCUACUUUCUGAGCUUUAAUAUGUAUUGGAGGUAUGGUGUCAAUAAAUUUGGUUUACUCUCCGUCUACAUUUCACCAAAUAUUUAUAUUUUGUGUGUGGAGCUCGGGCUACCAAGUGUGGAUGACCCAAGAAAAUAUAUAAUGGUAUCAAACAAAAUAUGAACCCAAAUCUGCAGAGUC
rnacentral:lncRNA from 1 species